GAUGAAGAACGCAGCGAAAUGCGAUAAGUAAUGUGAAUUGCAGAAUUCAGUGAAUCAUCGAAUCUUUGAACGCACAUUGCGCCCGCCAGUAUUCUGGCGGGCAUGCCUGUUCGAGCGUCAUUUCAACCAUCAAGCCCCGGGCUUGUGUUGGGGACCUGCGGCUGCCGCAGGCCCUGAAAUGCAGUGGCGGGCUCGCUGUCACUCCGAGCGUAGUAGUUACAUCUCGCUCUGGGCGUGCUGCGGGUUCCGGCCGUUAAAAGCCUUAUUUACCCAAGGUUGACCUCGGAUCAGGUAGGAAGACUCGCUGAACUUAAGCAUAUCAAUAAGCGGAGGA
rnacentral:misc_RNA from 1 species